GCUUGCUGGGUGGAUUAGUGGCGAACGGGUGAGUAACACGUGAGUAACCUGCCCUUCACUCUGGGAUAACUCCGGGAAACCGGUGCUAAUACUGGAUAUGACUCCAACCUGCAUGGGUAUGGGGUGGAAAGAUUUAUCGGUGGAGGAUGGACUCGCGGCCUAUCAGCUUGUUGGUGGGGUAAUGGCCUACCAAGGCGACGACGGGUAGCCGGCCUGAGAGGGUGACCGGCCACACUGGGACUGAGACACGGCCCAGACUCCUACGGGAGGCAGCAGUGGGGAAUAUUGCACAAUGGGCGAAAGCCUGAUGCAGCGACGCCGCGUGAGGGAUGACGGCCUUCGGGUUGUAAACCUCUUUCAGCUCUGACGAAGCCUUUGGGUGACGGUAGGAGCAGAAGAAGCACCGGCUAACUACGUGCCAGCAGCCGCGGUAAUACGUAGGGUGCGAGCGUUGUCCGGAAUUAUUGGGCGUAAAGAGCUUGUAGGCGGUUUGUCGCGUCUGCUGUGAAAGCCCGGGGCUUAACCCCGGGUCUGCAGUGGGUACGGGCAGGCUAUAGUGUGGUAGGGGAGACUGGAAUUCCUGGUGUAGCGG
rnacentral:rRNA from 1 species